rnacentral:rRNA from 1 species
GACAGAGGGGGCGAGCGAUGUCCGGAGUCACUGGGCGGAAAGCGCGCGCAGGCGGCAACCUAAGUGUCGUGUGAAAGCCCCCGGCUCAACCGGGGGAGGCCAUGGCAAACUGGGUCGCUCGAGCUGCGGAGAGGCCCCUCGAAUUGCCGGUGUAGCGGUGAAAUGCGUAGAGAUCGGCAGGAAGACCAAGGGGGAAGCCAGGGGGCUGGCCGCAGGCUGACGCUGAGGCGCGACAGCGUGGGGAGCAAAUCGG